AAGUUACAACUGCUGAAUUUGUACUCGGAAACGGGGGAACCGAUCGGGAGUCCGCACGCGGCUCUCAUGGGGUGAAGCCUUUCGCGCAGCCGAUCACGGUUUUGCGGCAGGCGGGGCGACUCUUGCGUCCCAAUCCGUCAGCUAACCUCGUAAGCAGAAACAGGAGAGGUG
rnacentral:sRNA from 2 species